ACUUUCUGACUGUGAGUACUGCUACAAGUCCACCCCCACCUCUGCUUGUAGAAAUAAAAAGUGCAGAUUUAUGAGAGGGGAUGGGUCUACCUGGAGUGACUUGAGGAAUACCCAGAAGACCCCGUCCACCUCCUCCUGCUUAGAAUAUGCCUUUUGCUAGCCUGCUGUGAUGCCUGGAAUUUCAUCCUUCACCCAUGUGAGUCAUUAUUGGACCCAGGAAGUUAAAGAUCAAUCAGUCUUAUCCCCUGCCCCUCCCCCCCCCCCCCCCGCCACCCCCGGAGAGCUACAGAUGCCACCCACAGCUGGCUCCUGGAAACUUGAGCAGAGACUGGGUCCUCUACUCUUUUUCAGAAGUUCUCCCAUGAGGGUGUGAGUGGCCAGGGAGAUGUCCUGAAAGGGAUUCUGGGCUCGGAGUGGCUUAGAGGGCAGUUUCCCACGAAUUUUCCAAUUUUCUUCAGUCAGAAAGUGAGCGACCCAUGACCAGUCCCAUGCCCCGAGCACAGCCCAGCAGAGCUCAGAGUUGGUCCACAGCAUGUAGGGGGGUGGGAAUGAUGACCAUCGCGGCAGAGCCCACGCUGGCCAGCACAGCUGGUGCUCCACAUUUUAAGCAGGAGUGGACACACGUACCCAGGAUCUCCCAAACCCGUGCAGGCCAACCCACCCCGGUCUGAGUCAGCUUUCUCAUCCAGACUUGAGUCUUAGUUAGAGCACUGCCUUAGCCUUUAGUGAGGCCCCCAAAAUGAUGUCAAUGUUCACGCUCAGCUGCCCUCGCCUCAACCAGGCUAAUGAGGAUGGGGAAAAAGUUCUUUGUUUUAGGCCAAAUGGGUCUUCUCUAACUGCAGCUGUUUUCUUUUUUUGUUCCUACAAGUGCUGGGCCCACCCACAUAGUUUAAAGCCAAGAUCAGGACAGAGAUGGAGGGAGCUGUCCCCUGGCCACCCUGAUACCUGCUGUUGGAAAUCAACAAACAAACACAAACCCACUUUGCGUUCUGUGAGUGUGCAUGUAUGUUGGUCCCUAGGUGCUGCAGGACAAGAGGAGGGCCAGAAAGCUCUGCCCAUGCCUGGGGAGCAUGCUGGAUCUCCCUUCCAGCUACAGAAGAGGUCAGCACCCUGCCCCCGCUGGCGGUCUUGCUCGAACCUCUGAGAGACCUCUUGGCAACAUGCUGUCCCUCCUAAUUGUCUUCCUCGGUCACCACUGCAGACCAAGCCUUCCAGGUCAUCAGUCACCACGUGGCCCUUGUCCUGGGAGAGUUCUGCACAUCCGCUUCCCUUCACCCCUCCUCACCUCCAGACCCUUCCACUGCAUUAUCGAGAACUCUGUCUCCUAGAGCCUCCCCUCCUCUGAAGGGGCCUUUACCUUCUUUCACUGAAGCCUGGCUGUCCUCAAGCUCCCUGCUCCUUGCAGCCACUCAGGUUGAGGCUGGUUUCUGUCGCCUACAGGCAGGUGUCAGGCAGGGCCUGGACGUAGAGGGGUUACUCAUUUCUCCCUCUCAGUCCUCAGACUCUUUUUUUCUUCCCCCAGUGACUUCAGUCCCCAGCUCCUCUCUCCAUCCACCUUUACUUUCACGGACGCUGACACCCACCUGGACCACUCUGACAACAUCCUGGCUCCCCAACUUCAUCAGACCCUUGCCUUCUUUGAUUUCAGCCACCUCUGAGAUCUGAAAAUUUGCUUUUAUUUAAAAAAUGUCUUAAGUUUACAUAUGUAAAAUUCUUUUUCUGAUGUACAGGUCUAUGGUUUCUUAGACACGCGUGGAUUCUCACAGCCACCACCACAGACAGUACAAGCAACAGUUCCAAUACUCCAGAGAACGCCCUCAUCUCUCCUCACCCCUGCCUUCUGGCAAGCAAUGAGCUGUUCUCUGUUCCUGUAUUUUUGCCUUUUCUAGAAUGCCAUAUAAAUGGAAUUAUAUAGAAUGUGCCCUUUUGGUACUGGCCUCUUUUGUUCAAAAGAAUAAUACCUUUGAGAUUCAUCCAUGCUGUUGUUUGAAUCAAGCAUGUUAACUUUUAUUGCUGAGUAGUAGUCCAUUGUGUAGAUAUAUUACAGUUUUUUAAAAAUCUACCCCUGUCGAAGGACAUUUGGGUUGUUUUCAGUUCUUGGUGAGGAUGAACAUUUGUGUGCAGAUUUUGUGUGGACUUAAAAUCUUGACUUCUUUAAAAUACCUAGAAGUGGUCAUUGCUGGGUCCUAUGUAUGUGAGAUCUCAACUGUAAGUUUCCUCUCCUCUGACAACUGUGCCCCAUCCACAUGGUUCCUUUCUCUAACAUAUCACACUGACCACUGUGACCUCACUAAGACCUCCAAUUCACUGAGCCUGCCAUUUUUUUCAUUGAUCAUGAACCUAUUCAUUUUUUCUUUCCUUCUCACACAACUUAGUGAUCCAUCGUAAUAGUCAUCCUACUGGAAACUUUCCUCACUCCCUUAAACAUACCGUCCUGGCUGAACCACAACCUGGUAAACUCAACUACCCACCCAUUCAGUCUCCAUUAGAGUAGAACAGUGUGGCUAGAAGAAAACACAAUUGUGCCAUGGGCCAGUUCAUGACCAUAAAUCUCACCUGAGCUUCUGAUACUGAUCAUCGAUCAGUCUGACCUUCUAGUGACUAUUUCAUACUUGUAUCUCUUCAAACCUCUGACAGCCUCAUAUAUCACUGGGGAAAUAGCGAUCAGACUAGAGAUUGCUUAUUAUCCUCCCACCACCAAUUCCACCUGACGGACUAAGGCUUUACUCUCUUCUCUGCCUUCCCCCUUUUAAAACGAUGAACUGUCCAUGCUUCUGUCUGAAGCCAGCCCCUCGAUGGUGCAGUGGAUUCCAUCCGUGCCCAUCCCACCUUUUCAAUCAUUUUACUUCUGCAAUUAUCCCCCCCUUUCCUGUCUUCAUCAACUUUCUGCCAUCACCGUAUAUACGUUUCCUAAUGUAGCUCAUCUUCAAAAAUGAUGUCCCUCCUGGCUCCCCAAAACCAGUAACUUUACAGUGGAGAGACCUGACAAAACACCUCAGCCAGGUGAUCAAGGCAACGAGUCAUGACGGCGGAAUGUACCCUUGCUGUGAUGUGAGGAGGUGAUAAUGGCACUGUACCUCUUUGGUCUUCCUUUCCAAAACCCACAACCUCUGUCCAACCAGAAAAACACCAGACAAAUCCAAAUGGAAGGAUGUUCUACAAAAUACUUAACUAGCACUCCUCAGAAUUGUCAAGGCCGUCAAAAGUGGGGAAAACCUAAGAGAAGCCUAAGGAGACGUGACAAGUAAAUGUAAUGUGGUAUCCUGAAUAGGACCUUAGAACAGAAAAAGAAAGAUAUUAAGUAACACUAAAAACUGGAAUAAAGUACAGGCUUUAGAUAAUAAGGUACCAAUACUGGUUCAUUAAUUGUGACUUAUGUACCAUAGUAAUGUUAACAAUAGAGGAGGCCAGGCACGGUGGCUCACGUCUAUAUUCCUACCGCUUUGGGAGGCCGAGGCAGGAGGAUCACUUGAGCCCACGAGUUUGAGACCAGCCUGGGCAACAUAGGGAAACCCCGUCUCUAUUCUAAAAAUAAAAUAAAAUAAUAGAGGAAACUGAGUGCAGGGAACUCUUAUAAUGGUCUCACAGCCUUUCUGUAAACCUAAAACUAUUCUAAGAUAAAAGUCGAUUAAAUAUGAAACCACACACACACACACAUACACACACACACACAUAUACACUCCCACACACUCCCCUGACCCAUGUCAUCCUCUUGCUCCACUCCAUUUCCCUGCUUUCCUGCACAGGGAACCUUCCCAAACGAGUUGUAUAUUGCUACGGUCUCUGUUUCCCCACUCCAGCCAGCUCAUUCCUCAGUCUACUCCAAUCUGCUGUCCUUAGCUCCCCACCAAACCUGCUCUUGUUAAGGUUGAUGGUGAGCUCCAUGUUGGCAAAUCCGAGUCAAUUUUUUUCCCCUUCCCUUACCUUUCAGUCUAGUGUGUGUGUAAUGCAGUUCACUAUGCCCUACUUCCCGCAGCACCCUUAUCACUUGGCUUUUGAGAUACUAUACCCCUGGAUUUCUUUCUGCUCCUUGGGUGCUCCUGCUCAGUCUGGCUUCUACCAGUGGCCUAGGUUCUGUCUCCCGACCUCUGUUCUUUGCACUUCUAUCUCAGAGGCAUAUUUCAUCCCAGCUCAUGGAGUUAAGUACAAUUUACCUACUGCACAUACCCAAAUUUGUAUCUCCAGCUUUAAACCCUAUGAGGUAGGGACUGCUGUCACC
rnacentral:lncRNA from 1 species